UAGGGAGACCUACCUUGGGGCAUCUGAGGGGAGUUAGACCACCCUCAGGCCAGCAAAGGUUAUCCCAGGUCGGUCGGGGUUGAAGGGAUGGUUGACUGAGGUUCUGGAGGGGAACCGAGGGGAGGGCUAUUAGCUCAGGUGGUUAGAGCGCACCCCUGAUAAGGGUGAGGUCCCUGGUUCGAGUCCAGGAUGGCCCACUGUUUGUCCUGGAGAAGGGAGAGCUAGCAAGCUAGAAGCGAGCUGGCCAAGCUGAGGGCAAAGCCAGAGGGUGGGUGCAGUCUGGACUGGGGGUAUAGCUCAGCUGGUAGAGCGCUGCCUUUGCACGGCAGAAGUCAGCGGUUCGAGUCCGCUUACCUCCACCACUUUGGUGAGGAGCCGGGAAGGGGUUCUCCAGUUGGAUAGGUUGACGACCGGGCUAGGGGUUUGGGUCCGAGCACAAGCCUCCAGCCGGGUUGAGCCG
rnacentral:tRNA from 1 species